CCUCCGUGGAGGGGCGGGGAUGGAAGAGCCGGGGGCGCGGCAGAGGGAAGAGGAUCCGUUGGAGCCGCUCCUAGGCCCGGAGAUAACGGUGGCUGCAGGUGACUGCACAUGUCAUGAGGAAGAAGAGCUUGCGAAGGGAGGGAAAAUUGUGAAUUGGAGGCCUGGAAAAGGCCGUUUGGCAAGGAACGUUUCUGAUGGCGAGUCUCACCAGAGUAGAUUUUCUGGUUGCCCUUGCUAUGAAAGUGACACUACUCAUUCAGAUUCCUCGGGGACUCCUAUUAAAUAUAUUGGUGACUUUGAUGACUUCCAGAGUGACCUUGAGAACUGGGAGUUGGAUGAUGAAGCUUGUGCUGUAUCUUUCCCUGAGCUGAAAAUUGAUUCUCAGUAUGAGGAAGAGGACUGGGAUAAAGAAUUGGAGGAUGCUGCAUGUAAUCCUUAUGACGCGGAAGAUAUCAACUGUGGUAGUCUUCAGGAAAAUUGUCUACUGGCAUCAUGUGCAUGGCAAGAAGAAUCAUUGUAUAACCCCAGGUGUCACCAUGCAGCUCCACUCUCUCUGAGUUCGCCAAAUAGAAUGCCUGAGGUUGGCCAGUUUGAUGAUGCAGAUGACUGAGGUUUGCCCCUGUUCAGGGCCAUGCUUGGCAAAUUGGACUUUGCUCCAUUGCAGGGAUGCAAUGCAUUGUGGGGUGCCUUCACCUAGCCUAUUGGGUUCCAAACAGGGCUUUUCUGAAAACUUUCUUUGAGAAUAUUAUUGAGCUGCAAAUACACUGAUCGUGAUUGACUGGAAGGAAGCAGAGAGGAUCUCAGACUGGACACUAACCCUAGCUUUAUGUCUCCCAUGAGAAGAAGGUUGGUUGUUCUGGAAGUGAAACAGCCAUGUGGACAGCCUAGAGGCUUUGUAAUGCUGCUCUGGUAUAUGUGAGAACACCGGCUCAGUGGAAUACAAUAGGGACCAUCACCUGAAGAAGAACCAAGCGUGAUUCCCGCUCUGGUUUCCUGCUUCUUAAACCAGAAGAGAAUGCAAGGACUUUGUGUUGCUCUGCAGCACCCCUUCUGGCUGAAUGGGGAGCUGCGUGGAUGAUCUCUGAAGGGAGGCCCCAUCCAAUUUUCUAUGUCUGGAAGGCUGAUGGAGGCAACGCAACUCUGUGAGGCUGUUGAAGUGGGAAACUAUGCGGGGGCUUCUCAGAGGAUCUCCUUAGAGUUAUGCUACAAGUGCAGUGUAUUUAUGUGCUAGUUUAUCUCCUGUCUGAUUCAUCCAAGUCACGUAAUUAAUCAAAGAGAUCUUGCUUUACAGCUUGAAAUUGGACUAUUCAACAGUAACUUUUUGUGCUGCACCUGUUUGCAGGGUGUUACCUUAGACACUAUGUUGAUGAAAGACAGUUUUAUUUUUAGCCCAUUUUCCCAUGCUCAGCCUAUAGAGUGUGCUCCCCUGUUCCAUUUCACUGUCCAGCACUAUUUUAAAGAUGUCUCUACCAUCUGUUUUUCCCCCCAUGUCUUAUCAAGUAUCCUCAGUGUUCUAAUAUUAACAGGGAGGCCUCUUCAUUCUUGGUUAUUCCAUAUUUCUACUAUUGGGCUCUUGGCACCUGUUCCUGGGUACUGCAAUCUAGGAACAGCUACUUGAUGCUCAGUUGGCCAGAUCUUUCUCUAAAUAUAAAGCAUGGAUAAACUAGUGAGAUUCAAAUUUAGCUCUCAUUUUUUUCCUGCCUGUAUUGGAUCUUUUACAUUUGGGACAGGAACACAGGAUCCAGAUACCUCACCACAGAAACCAUACCUCACCACAGAAACCAUCCUCUCUUCAUUCUACUUGCUAGUACUGUGUCUUUCUGGUCCUUGCUGUUGUCUUGGUAAAGUUCUGGGUAAAUCCUCAGUGCCCUUUAUUUUUUAACACUUUUUGGGGACAACGUAAUUAGCACCACUGCUUUUAUUAAAAUUCUUGCCAAAGCCGUUUUAAUCCUUAUGUUCAGGGACACUCAUUUUGCAGUGUUCAACCCCAUUAUUUUUUCUCUGUUACAGUGUCUGAUUUCACAGGAGAGCUAUCCCUUUCUUGUUAAUAUCUUCUGACAGAAUCUGUAGGGCUGUUAAAUGGCAUCUUCAUUUGAAUUUUUUUUUCUGUUAAGCAACAUUGCAUACUAAUUACCUUGUCCUUCAGGCUCUGUUUUAUUAAGAAUGGAGAGAUAAAUUUUGUUUUAAUUUUUGUUGUAUUAUCUUAAAUAUUCAGGAUAACUCACAUGCACAAGUUUUAUGAGAUUUGUAGUAUUGACAUAUAAGAAUCUAUUAAAAGAGCCUAUUUAAAAAAUCUUAGGCAAAAUAGCCUGUACACUCCAGAUUUAGCUAACCUGCUCUAAAAGAUGGGCUACUCUUUUUUUCUUGACAGCUCCCCAGUAUAGUAAUGUACAAGUGCACUCAGUAAGCUUAGAUACUAGCAUUUGUUGCCAGAGAGAACUCCAAGAGUUCAGAGGCUGUUGUUGGCUGUGACUGUUCAUAAAUGUUCCAGCACAGCCUAAAUAAUAGGGACUCUGGAGUCCUUGGUUGGACUCUCAGCUUAGAGACAUUCCCUGAGUGACUUUGGGUAAGUCAUGUAAUCAAUCUCAUGCCUCCAUUUCCCCUCUGUAAAAUGAGGUAAUACUACACUAUCUCUUGGCUGUUGCAAGGAUAAAAUUUAUUCAUGAUUGUGAGAUGUUCAGAUAUUAUUGUGGGGAGGGCCAUCUAAGUAGCUAGCUAGCCAGUUUGUAUUGUUGGGAUAUCUCCUGAGUCCUGGAUGUUAAGCAGGAACAAUCAACAUUGGAAGAUGAUCACAGCUUUGAGAAGGUGGAGGAAGUUAUCACCAAAGAAAUAUGAUUUUUCAAAGUGAACACCUAAUUAGUUUCACUGAAGGGGUAAUCAGCAGGGAUUGAGACUGCAUUAGAAACCUGCAGUAAAAUUAAUGAACAAAAUCACACCGAGUUUUGAAAAAAUUUGGUGUGUAACAGAUGAGAUGAAGAAUGAGGUCUUGAACCUGCCCCUCAUGGGGUCUGGGUUUAGUGGGACUGCUCCCUGUGAAUAAGAUUUGCAUGUAUGUGGGUUUGCAGGGUGAGGAACUAGGAUGGAAUACAGCAGUCCUGAGCUAAAGCUCCCUGCUAUGUCUGAGGCCUUCCAGAUUGCAGGAAUCAGGGCAGGGGUAAAACUGGCUGAGUGUAGAGCAGCCUGGGGAUGGCUCUAAACUGUGCCAGCAGGUAUCAGUUCCAAAGGAGCUGUCCACUAGCUGAGCACAGUCAGAGCAUAGUGCACUCUGACUACAGCCUCUCCUCAUCCACUUUGCUGGGGCCAGAAUGUGGAGAUGAUCUGGGCAUCCCCAGCUCCUGUUCUGUACCAAUGUUUCAAAGGGAGCAGAGAGCCUGGUCUAUUAUUGCAAGCCCAGCUAUAUUCAAAGUUUGGCUGUCACUUGAGAAGGUUGCUGUGGUCUAGUGUUUAAAGCAAAGCAUUGGGAGUCAGGACUCCUGGUUCUCUGCCACUUGCGUGGCCUUGGGUAGAUUGCAUAAACUCUCCACCUCAGUUUAAAGAUCUUUGAAACAUUGAGAGUAAUAAGUAAAGCACCUCACAGAGAUGUGUGGCUUAAUUAAAAUCCGUAAAGAACUUUGAAAGCCUUGGCUGGAAGGUACUAUAGAGGUGCAUGUACUUUUGUUCAUAAAUCUGACCAUCACUGGCUCACUUUGAAAAUCUGUGGGUUUAAGCAUCCUCCAGACAUCAAAGAGUCUGUGUCAAAAUGGACAGAGUCUGAGACCAUAUGCUAGGUUGCUGGGAGCAUUACAUUUAUGGCCAGCGGGUGCUAGUGCUUCACCGACUCGCUAGACUCACUGCAGAAAUUCCUCCAGAUGAAUCAUGGCAAAUUUGAUCUCUUCCCAUCAACUCCAAAACUCUGCAGAAGGCGCUUAACUCCUAGCUUCACACAGCUUUUGCUUUUCUCUUGGCAAUAGGCAAGGAGGUCUGAAGACAGAGCUAUCCAGAACAAUGUGGAUCAUGCGGUGUGGCUGGUAUUCAAUGACAUUUGGGGCAAAUGACUCCUGUAAAAGCUUGGUUCUACUCCCAUUGAAAUCAACUGGAAUUUUCCCAUUACUAUGGUGGUGGCAGGAUUAGUUCCCUAAGAGGCUUGAGUUUCUUGUUGCCCUUAAAUGAAUCUCCCAUGUACUGUAUGCCAGGAUUUUGCAAAUAAAGAUUAUGAAGAACCACUUUGAAGCCAGACAAUACCCAAGAGUCACAGGCUGUAGCUGGCUUUAUAAAUAUAUAUAUAGGCCAGGAUAAAGCCAGGAUAAUUUUAAGACCAAACUUGUGGUUAUUUGAGCUCAUUUCAGUGAGAGUGGAGUGUACUCAGCAUCUUACAGAGUAAGGUCUCCAGAGUAGAAGCUCGUUGCCAUAGGAUUCAGGAGAGAAUUUCCUCAUCCUGUGCAGGGUCUUUUAAUUGGCUAGAAACACUAAGUGUUUUACCUCUGCACCACCCUUUUGAAGCAUUAGGUACUGUCCACUCCUAUUGGCAUAAGAUAGACUUGAUGUAACAAAGGUCUGAUCCAGCAUGGCAAAUCCUGUAUUUUUAUAUGAUUUUAGAUCACAAGUGCUGCUGCUUCUUUUAUUAAUGUUCAAGGCUAUGGACACUUAGGCCUUACUACACUAAUAUCCAAUUCUCAGUUGUUCUAUGGGAAGACAGAAAACAGCAUAUGUCAUAAACAGAUAGCUAAGGGGUAACGUCUCUUUCACCUGGAAAGAAGUA